GUGCCCGUAACUCAGUGGUAGAGUGUGAGAUUGCAAUCUUGUCGAUCCAGAGAUGUCCAAUCUCGAAGCCGCGUGUUCGAACCACGCCGGGCACU